GAUUCUUGUCAUUAGGCAGCUUUCAAACAUUUGCCCUGACUGGACUAUGUGAGUAUUUGACUGGUGGAUUAUAGGAAGUAGGAGCAUCUCGGGCUCUGUGUGCCGUACAAGCCAUCCUGAUAGCAUCGUCUUACCUCCAGUCCCCAUUUCUCCCAUGCUGGUGGAGAAGCAAAGAGUGUCUUUGUCACCGAGGACCGCAGGAAUACACAAGAUCACCUCAAAUAAGUCCAGUAGUUUUACUGAAAUUUCUUUUGACUCCUGUGAAUUCUUCAGACAGAAAUCCCUGCUGACAAAUUUGUUUCUAAUUUCACUUCAGCAAAAUAUCUGUGGCAGCUCUAGCUCCAACAUGGCCCUCCCAGCUGGAGUUAGCAAUUGACCUUGGACUGAGUUCUCUUACAUGUUUGUAUAUCCCUGAGUAUACUGGAACCCAAGUCCUUAAUGUGUUACGUGUAAGAGCCUAUAUUCUAUUGAACACAGGGCUCUGUUGAAAUUA